rnacentral:lncRNA from 1 species
CAUCGUAUAAGCUUUGAUAAAGCUCACGAUACAUCACAAGGAUAGGCGUGAAUUACAUCCUUUUUGAAUUCUGUCUUGUGCCCGAUUCCUGUUUUUGAGUACUUUGCUGUUCGACCGCAGCUACUUUGGGUUGACCAACUAUGAUUGCCCUCGAGUUGGUACUAUUCAUGUUAUUCACCUCAUUGUCUUUUCUCCUUGGGCCGAUCUUUUAGCCGUUUCCCC